rnacentral:lncRNA from 1 species
UUCCAACCGCGACUGACCCCAACGUCGACCUGACCGUGGCUGAGGGGCCGACCAUGACUGAGGAGCCUUUGUCUCAGCUGGUUGCACCACCAGCUCACCCGAGCAGGGGUCAGAAGUAGAAUUUGCAUAGGAGUAGUUAGUUCUUUGUACAUGAAUGAAUUUUAUGGGGGAUUGUGAGCCCCCGAGUGAACAAUUUUAAGUUCUUUUGGCAAUCAUGAUAGAGAGCUG